UGUACAAUCACUCUUGGAGGAUGAGGUUCCGAUCUGAAACUGGCCACCUCCCUGCGCUCGGAGGAUACAAAGUCUUCAUGUUUAAGCUUCUGUCUCUGAAGGCCUCUGAUUAAAUCAAGGAAAGCAUCGGGUUAUUUCUAACAGACUUUAAAUAUCCCCUAACAUGCCUAAUCUCCUUUUUCAACAAAGAUGGAGCCUGGCAACAGUAUCCAGUUUCAGAAGUUUAUUCUGUCAUCAGCUUGGCACCGUGCAUGUUAGCGAACAGGCAGACAUGAAGCUGGAGA
rnacentral:sRNA from 1 species